rnacentral:rRNA from 1 species
UGUGUGUUAGUGGAAGCGUCUGGAAAGGCGCGCGAUACAGGGUGACAGCCCCGUACACAAAAAUGCACAUGCUGUGAGCUCGAUGAGUAGGGCGGGACACGUGGUAUCCUGUCUGAAUAUGGGGGGACCAUCCUCCAAGGCUAAAUACUCCUGACUGACCGAUAGUGAACCAGUACCGUGAGGGAAAGGCGAAAAGAACCCCGGCGAGGGGAGUGAAAAAGAACCUGAAACCGUGUACGUACAAGCAGUGGGAGCACGCUUAGGCGUGUGACUGCGUACCUUUUGUAUAAUGGGUCAGCGACUUAUAUUCUGUAGCAAGGUUAACCGAAUAGGGGAGCCGAAGGGAAACCGAGUCUUAACUGGGCGUUAAGUUGCAGGGUAUAGACCCGAAACCCGGUGAUCUAGCCAUGGGCAGGUUGAAGGUUGGGUAACACUAACUGGAGGACCGAACCGACUAAUGUUGAAAAAUUAGCGGAUGACUUGUGGCUGGGGGUGAAAGGCCAAUCAAACCGGGAGAUAGCUGGUUCUCCCCGAAAGCUAUUUAGGUAGCGCCUCGUGAAUUCAUCUCCGGGGGUAGAGCACUGUUUCGGCAAGGGGGUCAUCCCGACUUACCAACCCGAUGCAAACUGCGAAUACCGGAGAAUGUUAUCACGGGAGACACACGGCGGGUGCUAACGUCCGUCGUGAAGAGGGAAACAACCCAGACCGCCAGCUAAGGUCCCAAAGUCAUGGUUAAGUGGGAAACGAUGUGGGAAGGCCCAGACAGCCAGGAUGUUGGCUUAGAAGCAGCCAUCAUUUAAAGAAAGCGUAAUAGCUCACUGGUCGAGUCGGCCUGCGCGGAAGAUGUAACGGGGCUAAACCAUGCACCGAAGCUGCGGCAGCGACGCUUAUGCGUUGUUGGGUAGGGGAGCGUUCUGUAAGCCUGUGAAGGUGUGCUGUGAGGCAUGCUGGAGGUAUCAGAAGUGCGAAUGCUGACAUAAGUAACGAUAAAGCGGGUGAAAAGCCCGCUCGCCGGAAGACCAAGGGUUCCUGUCCAACGUUAAUCGGGGCAGGGUGAGUCGACCCCUAAGGCGAGGCCGAAAGGCGUAGUCGAUGGGAAACAGGUUAAUAUUCCUGUACUUGGUGUUACUGCGAAGGGGGGACGGAGAAGGCUAUGUUGGCCGGGCGACGGUUGUCCCGGUUUAAGCGUGUAGGCUGGUUUUCCAGGCAAAUCCGGAAAAUCAAGGCUGAGGCGUGAUGACGAGGCACUACGGUGCUGAAGCAACAAAUGCCCUGCUUCCAGGAAAAGCCUCUAAGCAUCAGGUAACAUCAAAUCGUACCCCAAACCGACACAGGUGGUCAGGUAGAGAAUACCAAGGCGCUUGAGAGAACUCGGGUGAAGGAACUAGGCAAAAUGGUGCCGUAACUUCGGGAGAAGG